rnacentral:rRNA from 1 species
GGUUAAGUUAAUAAGGGCGCACGGUGGAUGCCUUGGCACUAGAAGCCGAUGAAGGACGUGACUAACGACGAAAUGCUUUGGGGAGCUGUAAGUGAGCAAUGAUCCAGAGAUGUCCGAAUGGGGAACCCGGCAGGUAACGCCUGUCACUCAUUACUGUUAAGGUAAUGUAGAGGAAGACGCAGUGAACUGAAACAUCUAAGUAGCUGUAGGAAGAGAAAGCAAAAGCGAUUGCCUUAGUAGCGGCGAGCGAAACGGCAAGAGGGCAAACCGAAGAGUUUACUCUUCGGGGUUGUAGGACUGCAACGUGGACUUAAAGAUUAUAGAAGAACUACCUGGGAAGGUAGGCCAAAGAGAGUAAUAGCCUCGUAUUCGAAAUAGUCUUUAUACCUAGCAGUAUCCUGAGUACGGCGAGACACGAGAAAUCUCGUCGGAAUCUGGGAGGACCAUCUCCCAACCCUAAAUACUCUCUAGUGACCGAUAGUGAACCAGUACCGUGAGGGAAAGGUGAAAAGCACCCCGGGAGGGGAGUGAAAUAGAACCUGAAACCGUGUGCCUACAACAAGUUCGAGCCCGUUAAUGGGUGAGAGCGUGCCUUUGUAGAAUGAACCGGCGAGUUACGAUAUGAUGCGAGGUUAAGUUGAAGAGACGGAGCCGUAGGGAAACCGAGUCUUAAUAGGGCGCAUUAGUAUCAUGUCGUAGACCCGAAACCAUGUGACCUACCCAUGAGCAGGUUGAAGGUGAGGUAAAACUCACUGGAGGACCGAACCAGGGCACGUUGAAAAGUGCUUGGAUGACUUGUGGGUAGCGGAGAAAUUCCAAACGAACUUGGAGAUAGCUGGUUCUCUCCGAAAUAGCUUUAGGGCUAGCGUCGAUGUUAAGUCUCUUGGAGGUAGAGCACUGUUUGGGUGAGGGGUCCAUCCCGGAUUACCAAUCUCAGAUAAACUCCGAAUGCCAAUGAGAUAUAAUCGGCAGUCAGACUGCGAGUGCUAAGAUCCGUAGUCGAAAGGGAAACAGCCCAGACCACCAGCUAAGGUCCCAAAAUAUAUGUUAAGUGGAAAAGGAUGUGGGGUUGCACAGACAACUAGGAUGUUAGCUUAGAAGCAGCUAUUCAUUCAAAGAGUGCGUAAUAGCUCACUAGUCGAGUGACCCUGCGCCGAAAAUGUACCGGGGCUAAAACAUAUUACCGAAGCUGUGGAUACCUUUAUAGGUAUGGUAGGAGAGCGUUCUAUGUGCGAAGAAGGUGUACCGUGAGGAGUGCUGGAGCGCAUAGAAGUGAGAAUGCCGGUAUGAGUAGCGAAAGACAGGUGAGAAUCCUGUCCACCGUAAGACUAAGGUUUCCAGGGGAAGGCUCGUCCGCCCUGGGUUAGUCGGGACCUAAGGAGAGACCGAAAGGUGUAUCCGAUGGACAACAGGUUGAUAUUCCUGUACUAGAGUAUAUAGUGAUGGAGGGACGCAGUAGGCUAACUAAACCAGACGAUUGGAAGUGUCUGGCCAAGCAGUGAGGUGUGAUAUGAGUCAAAUGCUUAUAUCUUUAACAUUGAGCUGUGAUGGGGAGCGAAGUUUAGUAGCGAAGUUAGUGAUGUCACACUGCCGAGAAAAGCUUCUAGCGUUAAUUAUACUCUACCCGUACCGCAAACCGACACAGGUAGUCGAGGCGAGUAGCCUCAGGUGAGCGAGAGAACUCUCGUUAAGGAACUCGGCAAAAUGGCCCCGUAACUUCGGGAGAAGGGGCGCUGACUGAUGGUCAGCCGCAGUGAAUAGGCCCAAGCAACUGUUUAUCAAAAACACAGCUCUCUGCUAAAUCGUAAGAUGAUGUAUAGGGGGUGACGCCUGCCCGGUGCUGGAAGGUUAAGAGGAGUGCUUAGCGUAAGCGAAGGCAUGAAUUGAAGCCCCAGUAAACGGCGGCCGUAACUAUAACGGUCCUAAGGUAGCGAAAUUCCUUGUCGGGUAAGUUCCGACCCGCACGAAAGGCGUAAUGAUUUGGGCACUGUCUCAACGAGAGACUCGGUGAAAUUUUAGUACCUGUGAAGAUGCAGGUUACCCGCGACAGGACGGAAAGACCCCAUGGAGCUUUACUGCAGUUUGAUAUUGAGUAUCUGUACCACAUGUACAGGAUAGGUAGGAGCCUAUGACCUCGGGACGCCAGUUUCGAGUGAGGCGUUGUUGGGAUACUACCCUUGUGUUAUGGCUACUCUAACCCAGAUAGGUUAUCCCUAUCGGAGACAGUGUCUGACGGGCAGUUUGACUGGGGCGGUCGCCUCCUAAAAGGUAACGGAGGCGCCCAAAGGUUCCCUCAGAAUGGUUGGAAAUCAUUCGCAGAGUGUAAAGGUAUAAGGGAGCUUGACUGCGAGAGCUACAACUCGAGCAGGGACGAAAGUCGGGCUUAGUGAUCCGGUGGUUCCGUAUGGAAGGGCCAUCGCUCAACGGAUAAAAGCUACCCUGGGGAUAACAGGCUUAUCUCCCCAAGAGUUCACAUCGACGGGGAGGUUUGGCACCUCGAUGUCGGCUCGUCGCAUCCUGGGGCUGUAGUCGGUCCCAAGGGUUGGGCUGUUCGCCCAUUAAAGCGGCACGCGAGCUGGGUUCAGAACGUCGUGAGACAGUUCGGUCCCUAUCCGUCGCGGGCGUAGGAAAUUUGAGAGGAUCUGCUCCUAGUACGAGAGGACCAGAGUGGACUUACCGCUGGUGUACCAGUUGUUCUGCCAAGAGCAUCGCUGGGUAGCUAUGUAGGGAAGGGAUAAACGCUGAAAGCAUCUAAGUGUGAAGCCCACCUCAAGAUGAGAUUUCCCAUGAUUUUAUAUCAGUAAGAGCCCUGAGAGAUGAUCAGGUUGAUAGGUUAGAAGUGGAAGUGUGGUGACACAUGUAGCGGACUAAUACUAAUAGCUCGAGGACUUAUCCAA